GACUCUAGGCUGAAGCUGCCAAGGUGCGUGAUCCCUCGGUGAUGCCUUGAGUGUUGCUUCACCAAAGAACAACCACACGGCACAGCCGAAUCUCUCAUU
rnacentral:snRNA from 1 species